rnacentral:lncRNA from 10 species
UGGCACCAUUUCCUAUUACUCUAAGCACGUCACCUAUUACCUUAUUUCAUCUUACAAGCGCAUUAGGCGUUAUUAGACCCCAGUUCCCAAGAAAACUUGAGUUUGGCACAUUUAGGAAACUUUCAGAAAAGUCAAAGUGAUGGAAACCUAACAAGUCAAAGGAGGUGUGAUGGGGGGAGAGGGGAGCAGAAAGAGGAGGGCUGUGUCCCCUGGGAGCCUUGUAAGCUGUACUACCUGAGCACAUUAAGCUUGUGAUGCUACAUAAGGAUAUAUGUAUUUUUUUUUUUUUUUUGAGACAGAGUUAUUCUGUCAUACAGGCUGGAGUGUGGUGGCAGGAUAUUAGCUUACUGCAACCUCUGCCUCCCGGGCUCACCUCAGCCUCCUGAGUAGCUGGGACUACAGGCAUGUGCCACCAUGCCUGGCUAAUUUUUUGUACUUUUUGUAGAGACGGGUUUCACCGUGUCGCCCAGGCUGGUCUUAAACUCCUGGGUUCAAGUGGUCCGCUCACCUCAGCUUCCCAAAGCGUAGAUGAGGAAUUUAACUAAGAUGGGUAGUAGGUGGUUGGCUAUAUGGGCCUUUCAUUCCUAAAGUUUGGGCUGGAAGCUAUGACUUUGGUAAGCACAUGGAUGGUGUUUUAAGCCCACAUGAGCAUAAGAAAUUGCCUAGGAAAUGAAUGUAGAGAGAAGGAAAGAGGAUAUAAUAUGGAGCCAGGAGAAAUAUGCAGGAAACAGAAGCCAACAGUGAAGACUCAGAGUCAAAGAAAAGUCACUUAACUGGAAGCCAAUGGCAGAGACUAUGUCAAGAAGGGAGUCGUCAAGUGCGUUGAAUGAUCGUGGCAAUUCUGCUUCUCUUUCUCCUGCAGGCUCCUUCACAACAGUGAGCAGAGGGACAAUGGAGGAACCAGCCAAACAUUUGCUUGAGCCUACGGCAGGAGACCAUCCAGAAAGAAGCUGGUGGUAGAGGGAUUCAUGGACAGCGCUGGAGCCAUCUGGUCUGGGGAGGCUUGAAGAGGAGGCAAGUGAAGGAGGCUCACAUAGGAUGUGUCUUAAGGUGUCCUUAAGAAGCUGAAAAUGUCAUGACUAACCUGCCAACAUGGUGAAACCCUGUCUUUACUAAAAAUACACAAACUAGCUGGGCAUCCUGGUUGGCACCUGUAAUCCCAGCUACUCGGGAGGCUGAGGCAGAAGAAUCACUUGAAUCCAGGAGGCGGAGGUUGCGGUGAGAGCUGAGAUCACGUCAUUGUACUCUAGCCUGAGGGACAAGAGUGAAAAAAUGGUCGUUUAAUCUAUCUAGGUCAGCGGAAAUAAUCAGAUGCAAAUGUCCACUGUAGUUUACAUUUUCUACUACUUCAAAACUUAAUAUGGGCACAUAUUUAGUUUCGUACUUCUUAUCCUCUAUAUGUUAUUUGACAAAAUAAAGCUAUUGUUCCGCCUUUAUAUAAACCUGCUGUCCAAAAAAAUGUGAAUACAAUUUUCAACAUUAAAG